UCUGGUCCCCACCUUAUAUAAUUUACCUCAACUUACACAUUGCAAGUCUCAGCAUACCCGUGAGUACGCCCUUCUACCUAACCCAGAAGAAGGAGCAGGCAUCAGGCACAGCAUCUAGCCUAAAACACCUAGUAUUACCACAUCCCCAAGGAUACACAGCAGUGAUUAACAUUAUUAAUAAGUGUCAACUUGAAAUAGUUAGAGGAACUAAGAGCUGGCCAACCUGGUGCCAGCCGCCGCGGCUACACCAAGAACUCAAAUUGAUAACUUCCGGCGUCAAGUGUGAUAUUGAGUAAUCACCUAAUUAGGGUUAAAUAAAAAUAUAAAUGUCUCAAACACAUUUCUAAGAAAAUCAAAAAUAAAAAUUACCCUAACCACUACUCGAAUGCACGACAGUUAAGACACAAACUGGGAUUAGACACCCCACUAUGCUCAACCAUAAACAAAAUACAUUAUAAACGCCAGGGAACUACGAGCCACGCUUGAAACCCAAAGGACUUGACGGUGCCCUAUCCAACUAGAGGAGCCUGUUCUAUAAUUGAUAAUCCCCACUAUACCUCACCCCUACUAGCCUUACAGCCUGUAUACCUCCGUCGCAAGCUUACUGUGUGAACAUCUAAUAGUAAGCUUAAUUAAUAACCCUAAAUACGUCAGGUCAAGGUGCAGCCAAUGUAUAGGAAAGCAAUGGGCUACAAUUUCUAAUUUAGAAUAAACGAAAACUCACAUGAAACUGUGAUUUAAAGGCGGAUUUAGCAGUAAGAAAAGAAUAAAGUGCUUCUCUUAAACAGGACCUAGGUCGCGUACAAACCGCCCGUCACCCUCUUCAAUAAUUAAUCACUAUUUUCCUAAUACCACUUAAAUCCAAGAAGAGGUAAGUCGUAACAUGGUAAGUGUACUGGAAAGUGCACUUGGAUCAA
rnacentral:ncRNA from 1 species